AUUGAACGCUGGCGGCAUGCCUUACACAUGCAAAUCGAACGGUAACAGGUCUUCGGAUGCUGACGAGUGGCGAACGGGUGAGUAAUACAUCGGAACGUGCCUAGUAGUGGGGGAUAACUACUCGAAAGAGUGGCUAAUACCGCAUGAGAUCUACGGAUGAAAGCAGGGGAUCGCAAGACCUUGUGCUACUAGAGCGGCCGAUGGCAGAUUAGGUAGUUGGUGGGAUAAAAGCUUACCAAGCCGACGGUCUGUAGCUGGUCUGAGAGGACGAUCAGCCACACUGGGACUGAGACACGGCCCAGACUCCUACGGGAGGCAGCAGUGGGGAAGUUUGGACAAUGGGCGCAAGCCUGAUCCAGCAAUGCCGCGUGCAGGAUGAAGGCCUUCGGGUUGUAAACUGCUUUUGUACGGAACGAAAAGCCCUGGGUUAAUACCCUGGGGUCAUGACGGUACCGUAAGAAUAAGCACCGGCUAACUACGUGCCAGCAGCCGCCGCGGUAA
rnacentral:rRNA from 1 species